rnacentral:rRNA from 1 species
GACGAACGCUGGCGGCGUGCUUAACACAUGCAAGUCGAACGAUGAAGCCGGAGCUUGCUCUGGUGAAUUAGUGGCGAACGGGUGAGUAACACGUGAGUAACCUGCCCUUGACUCUGGGAUAACUGCUAGAAAUGGUAGCUAAUACCGGAUACGACCCUCGGAGGCAUCUUCAGGGGGUGGAAAGAAUUUCGGUCAAGGAUGGACUCGCGGCCUAUCAGCUAGUUGGUGAGGUAAUGGCUCACCAAGGCGACGACGGGUAGCCGGCCUGAGAGGGUGACCGGCCACACUGGGACUGAGACACGGCCCAGACUCCUACGGGAGGCAGCAGUGGGGAAUAUUGCACAAUGAGCGCAAGCCUGAUGCAGCAACGCCGCGUGAGGGAUGACGGCCUUCGGGUUGUAAACCUCUUUUAGUAGGGAAGAAGCGAAAGUGACGGCACCUGCAGAAAAAGCACCGGCUAACUACGUGCCAGCAGCCGCGGUAA